UGGGGAAUAUUGCACAAUGGAGGGAACUCUGAUGCAGCGACGCCGCGUGAACGAAGAAGGCUUUCGAGUCGUAAAGUUCUUUUAUAUGGGAAGAUAAUGACGGUACCAUAAGAAAAAGCCCCGGCUAACUACGUGCCAGCAGCCGCGGUAAUACGUAGGGGGCUAGCGUUGUCCGGAAUCACUGGGCGUAAAGGGUUCGCAGGCGGAAAUGCAAGUCGGGUGUAAAAGGCAGUAGCUUAACUACUGUAAGCAUUUGAAACUGCAUAUCUUGAGAAGAGUAGAGGUAAGUGGAAUUUUUAGUGUAGCGGUGAAAUGCGUAGAUAGUAAAAAGAAGACCGGUGGCGAAGGCGACUUACUGGGCUCAUUCUGACGCUGAGGAACGAAAGCGUAGGUAGCAAACAGG
rnacentral:rRNA from 1 species